rnacentral:lncRNA from 1 species
UCUUUAUCAGCAGCGUGAAAACGAACUAAUACAGGCACGAAAUAUAUUUUGACUAUGGAUAUCAACCAACAUAUGACCAGAGUGCCUAUCACGCGUUGGCUGCUAUGGUGCUGCCAUAAAGUGACAUGAGCAAAGAGCGAUCUAGGAUAACGUAAAAGUGCUGCAUCCAGGAUGGAGCCUAAGCAUGUCUGGGGCAAAAGUAAGUUACACAAAGAGGCGGUCCAGACCCCAUGUCAUUCAGUGCCCUUGCAUCCAUUCUUCUCCCAAGCUUCUGUCCAUGGCCCUGUGGGGUGCUCCCUAUGACCAACUGAUGGAGGAAACAAUCUGGGCCUGGUUUGUGGAAGGUUGGACUUCUACUGCAGGACUGCCUGACUCAGAAGUGGCCCUGAAGUUUAUGGUGAGCGCAAACUCUCUCCACAGAGCUUCUCCUUCACGUGGAGAAAAGUGCCCCAGUGUCUGAGGCGCAUGGCCCCGGGAGAGGAGGAGAAUGGGACGGUGGUUCAGAUCUGCUGAUGUAGCUGUGGUCAGUCACUGGGGAGAAUAGGCCUGUGGAUUUCUGCUCCUCUGAGAUGGAUCCAUCACUGACUACUGAACUUGUUUUCUCAUUGGCUCAACUUAAGAAGGUUCUAGAGGGAACUGACUUCUUCCUCCUCAUGGUCCACUUGAAAUUCCAGGAAAAGGAACAGAUGUGCAAGGAAUUGCAGCCUGGAGAAACAUAGUGUAUUUGGAGACUUGCAUGUAAAUGGAUAAGUAGGUGUAGGAGGAGAAGCUGGGUCACAUUUUCCUAAAUUUUAUUCCACAAAACACUAGUUCUGUGAGACGCUCUAUGGAAAUUGGUCCCAUGAUCAGUACAUUUGGGGCAUGCUGCAUGUUGUAUUCCCUGUUGUCUUAUAUUGGAUUUCCUAAAAAUAGACUCUGAGGUGGAGACUUAUGUGCAGAAGGUCUCUUGGCGAAUGCUCCAGGGAGGCGUGCGUGUAAGGAAGUGAGACAGACCCACCUCAGGCCCCUGGGACUUCCACUGGCCAGACGCCCUGUGCCUACUUGUGUCAUGGGAUACAGGGCCCAUCUCUUCCCAUCUCCACACUCUGACCACACGCUAGUAGCUUGAAAUCAGCCAUGGUGCAACUAUUGGCAUCACAAAAAUGGACAAAUGCUUCAAACUGGGGCCUGACUUAUUGUUUUGUUGAUUGCCAGGCUUAAAAAGUGAUGGAAAGGAUGCUAAUAAUGCAUAUUAAACCAAAAAAGUGCGUCAUGUCUGUAGCUGUGACAUUGUGAAUAGCACAAGCAUUGAGGUUACAUGCUUCUGAUAUUUGAAAACCCUUAUUGGAUUCAACAAAGAAUUCACUCAUGUCAUUGUCUAUCAGGUGAAGCUCUGAUGCACAUUUUUUGCUUUCACUUUUGCCUUAUUCAUUAAUAUAAACAGAAUGUCAAUCAACCUUCAUGUUGUGUCUACGCUCAAUCAUCCCUGAUGACCCUACGCUGACUACAGAUGCAGAAUUCAGCAAAAACCAAUGAAAGCAUUCGGAAAAGAAGUUUAAAUCAAUAACUGAAAUAAGUUUUCAUGGUACCCAGAGAUUUCACUUCCUGAUAGCCUGCCUCAUGUGAAUUAACGUGUACAAUGGAAGGUAGUUCUAGUGGAGAUAAUGAAUUCCUCUCCAGAAAGGGAGCUUUCCCUCUUUUGGGGUACUGAGGGCACUCACGGAAAAUAAAGGACCAGGGUUUUUUCUUCACCUCUAGAAUUUUAAUUAUUUUAAUUUAAUUUAUUUAUUUAUUUUGAGACAGAGUUUUGCUCUUGUCACCCAGGCUGGAGUGCAAUGGCGCGAUCUCACCUCACUGCGACCUCUGCCUCCCAGAUUCAAGUGAUUCUCCUGCCUUAGCCUCCCCCAGUAGCUGGGAUAACAGGCGUGUGCCACCACACCCAGCUAAUUUUUGUAUUUUUAGUAGA